AAAUCGGGCACCAUGUCUUCUUCUUUAUUUUGAAGAAAAUACCCCUCGUGGGUGACGAAUUACAUUAUACAUAUAAAUAUUUUACGAGCGCUGACUUACCCCUCUUGACGUUUUGACAGUUUGUCUGUUUGUUUUUCUCCCUCACCUUGCGACGUCGUUUCGGUUUUGCAUCGUGCAUCACGGAGAAAAUCGAAAAAGAUAAUAAUAAUAUAACGUUAAUGAGGCUUUCUGUUUGACGCGAGAUUUGACGGCAACCGGAGAAGGCAAUCCGCUGAAGCAGGCCACGAACAUUGGGAGUCAUUUUUUUUCUGCUCGGCUACGCAGUGUGCAAAUUGAACAACAACAAUGGUUCGGAACAAUGCAACCAGCGAAAAACAUUUCGCCAGGAAUCUCUACUUCAAUUCGAAUCGAUUGGACGAUUGCCCUCGAGGAGGAAGAAAAUCAGCGUCCAAGAGAAUUAAAGGCCAGUCUGAUAGUAGUCGCAGCUCUACAAAGUGGAAGCAGUAUUUCCCUGAUGGUGUAUGGCGGUUGAAUGCGGGGACAGUUCUGAGGAGGUGCUAAAAUCGAUUCAUCACUGCUGCAUCCUUUUGUACGCUUAUUGCCGAAUUAUGCAUCACAAAGAGUGGAUAGUGAAUGAUCGUUAACAUCCUUGGGUGGAAGACCGUUUUGCGGCCGUGGAGGAUUCCGCGGACGUGGUGGUUUCCGUGGCGGUUUACAUCGUGAUGGCCCACCGCACCACGGGGACAAUGAUGAAUGGCGUCGAUCAGGAGCCGAUGGCGAAUAUGAUUUACGUCGUCGUUCUGGAUCACGUGAACCAGGAAUCGAUAGAUCUCGCUCCCGUUCACCGAGGCGACGCAGUCCGGCUGAUUCUGAUUCGUCUUCUUGUAGGAAAGGCAUGUUAUCGAAUGCAAGAACGUUAUCAGAAGAAGAUGUGCAGAAGCGCAUAUCGACGUCAUCGUCGCACGCAAUCUUCCUCGGCCUGCCGGGAUCGACGUCAUCGGUGGCAUCGUCGGAUGAUGCCAGUGUUCAGACGCGUCCACUGCGUAAUCUCGUGUCCUACCUGAAGCAGAAAGAAGCGGCCGGCGUUAUUUCCUUGUUCAAUAAAGAAACGGAAGCAACCGGUGUGCUCUACUCAUUCCCGCCAUGCGAUUUUUCGACAGAAUUGUUGAAACGAACAUGUCACAACCUCACUGAAGGAAGACCAUCUGGUAAUCGUGGUGGUCCGAGGAGGUGCCUUCUUUCUGGUAUUGCAGCAACUAGUCCAUAU